UACGUAGGGGGCAAGCGUUGUCCGGAUUUAUUGGGCGUAAAGAGCGUGUAGGCGGUUUGGUAGGUCCGCUGUGAAAACUCGAGCUCAACCUCGAGACGCCGGUGGAAACCAUCAGACUAGAGUCCGGAAGAGGAGAGUGGAAUUCCUGGUGUAGCGGUGAAAUGCGCAGAUAUCAGGAAGAACACCCGUGGCUAAGGCGGCUCUCUGG
rnacentral:rRNA from 1 species